AACGAACGCUGGCGUCAGGCCUAACACAUGCAAGUCGAGCGGACCCUUCGGGGUUAGCGGCGGACGGGUGAGUAACGCGUGGGAAUAUGCCCUUCUCUACGGAAUAGUCCUGGGAAACUGGGGGUAAUACCGUAUACGCCCUUUGGGGGAAAGAUUUAUCGGGGAAGGAUUAGCCCGCGUUGGAUUAGGUAGUUGGUGGGGUAAUGGCCUACCAAGCCGACGAUCCAUAGCUGGUUUGAGAGGAUGAUCAGCCACACUGGGACUGAGACACGGCCCAGACUCCUACGGGAGGCAGCAGUGGGGAAUCUUAGACAAUGGGGGCAACCCUGAUCUAGCCAUGCCGCGUGAGUGAUGAAGGCCUUAGGGUUGUAAAGCUCUUUCAGCUGGGAAGAUAAUGACGGUACCAGCAGAAGAAGCCCCGGCUAACUCCGUG
rnacentral:rRNA from 1 species